rnacentral:rRNA from 1 species
GAUGAACGCUGGCGGCGUGCCUAAUACAUGCAAGUCGAGCGAACGGACGAGAAGCUUGCUUCUCUGAUGUUAGCGGCGGACGGGUGAGUAACACGUGGAUAACCUACCUAUAAGACUGGGAUAACUUCGGGAAACCGGAGCUAAUACCGGAUAAUAUUUUGAACCGCAUGGUUCAAAAGUGAAAGACGGUCUUGCUGUCACUUAUAGAUGGAUCCGCGCUGCAUUAGCUAGUUGGUAAGGUAACGGCUUACCAAGGCAACGAUGCAUAGCCGACCUGAGAGGGUGAUCGGCCACACUGUAACUGAGACACGGACCAGACUCCUACGGGAGGCAGCAGUAGGGAAUCUUCCGCAAUGGGCGAAAGCCUGACGGAGCAACGCCGCGUGAGUGAUGAAGGUCUUCGGAUCGUAAAACGCUGUUAUUAGGGAAGAACAUAUGUGUAAGUAACUGUGCACAUCUUGACGGUACCUAAUCAGAAAGCCACGGCUAACUACGUG